GGCACCGUUCAAAUCACGGUCAAAGUACCAAUUCUCGUCUGAUCAUUGAAGUCAAGUAUGCAUGGUCGUUGAACAUGGUUAGUACUUGGGCAUGGGUGGACCGCUUGGGAACAUCGUGUGAUGUUGUCC
rnacentral:rRNA from 1 species